UAGGGAAUCUUCCACAGUGGACGCAAGUCUGAUGGAGCAACGCCGCGUGAGUGAAGAAGGUCUUCGGAUCGUAAAGCUCUGUUGUUGGUGAAGAAGGAUAGAGGCAGUAACUGGUCUUUAUUUGACGGUAAUCAACCAGAAAGUCACGGCUAACUACGUGCCAGCAGCCGCGGUAAUACGUAGGUGGCAAGCGUUGUCCGGAUUUAUUGGGCGUAAAGCGAGCGCAGGCGGAAUGAUAAGUCUGAUGUGAAAGCCCACGGCUCAACCGUGGAACUGCAUCGGAAACUGUCAUUCUUGAGUGCAGAAGAGGAGAGUGGAACUCCAUGUGUAGCGGUGGAAUGCGUAGAUAUAUGGAAGAACACCAGUGGCGAAGGCGGCUCUCUGGUCUGCAAACUGACGCUGAGGCUCGAAAGCAUGGGUAGCGAACAGGAUUAGAUACCCUGGUAGUCCAUGCCGUAAACGAUGAGCGCUAGGUGUUGGGGACUUUCCGGUCCUCAGUGCCGCAGCAAAAUCGCAUUAAGCGCUCCGCCUGGGGAGUAC
rnacentral:rRNA from 1 species